rnacentral:tRNA from 1 species
GGAUGUGGCUCAUUGGUAGGGUGCUUGCCAGGCAAGCACAAGGCCCUGGGUUCAAUCCCCAGUAUCACA